rnacentral:rRNA from 1 species
CUACGGAGGGUGCAAGCGUUGUUGGGAAUUACUGGGCGUAAAGCGCGUGUAGGCGGUUUGGUAAGUCAGAUGUGAAAGCCCUGGGCUCAACCCGGGAAGUGCAUUUGAAACUGCCUUUCUUGAGUAUGGGAGGGGAGAGUGGAAUUCCCAGUGUAGAGGUGAAAUUCGUAGAUAUUGGGAGGAACACCCGUGGCGAAGGCGACUCUCUGGACCAAUACUGACGCUGAGACGCGAAAGCGUGGGGAGCAAACAGGAUUAGAAACCCCAGUAGUCC